AGUGAACGCUGGCGGUAGGCCUAACACAUGCAAGUCGAACGGCAGCACAGUAAGAGCUUGCUCUUACGGGUGGCGAGUGGCGGACGGGUGAGGAAUACAUCGGAAUCUACUUUUUCGUGGGGGAUAACGCAGGGAAACCUACGCUAAUACCGCAUACGACCUACGGGUGAAAGCAGGGGAUCUUCUGACCUUGCGCGGUUGAAUGAGCCGAUGUCGGAUUAGCUGGUUGGCGGGGUGAAGGCCCACCAAGGCGACGAUCCGUAGCUUGUCUGAGAGGAUGAUCAGCCACCUUGGAACUGAGACAGGGUCAAUACUCCUACGGGAGGCAGCAGUGGGGAAUAUUGGACAAUGGGCGCAAGCCUGAUCCAGCCAUACCGAGUGGGUGAAGAAGGCCUUCGGGUUGUAAAGCCCUUUUGUUGGGAAAGAAAAGCAGCAGGUUAAUACCCAGCUGUUCUGACGGUACCCAAAGAAGAAGCACCGGCUAACUUCGUG
rnacentral:rRNA from 1 species